rnacentral:rRNA from 1 species
UCAAAGAUGAUCCCGCGUUGUAUUAGCUAGUUGGUGAGGUAAAGGCUCACCAAGGCGAUGAUACAUAGCCGACCUGAGAGGGUGAUCGGCCACAUUGGGACUGAGACACGGCCCAAACUCCUACGGGAGGCAGCAGUAGGGAAUCUUCGGCAAUGGACGAAAGUCUGACCGAGCAACGCCGCGUGAGUGAAGAAGGUUUUCGGAUCGUAAAACUCUGUUGGUAGAGAAGAACGUUGGUGAGAGUGGAAAGCUCAUCAAGUGACGGUAACUACCCAGAAAGGGACGGCUAACUACGUGCCAGCAGCCGCGGUAAUACGUAGGUCCCGAGCGUUGUCCGGAUUUAUUGGGCGUAAAGCGAGCGCAGGUGGUUUAUUAAGUCUGGUGUAAAAGGCAGUGGCUCAACCAUUGUAUGCAUUGGAAACUGGUAGACUUGAGUGCAGGAGAGGAGAGUGGAAUUCCAUGUGUAGCGGUGAAAUGCGUAGAUAUAUGGAGGAACACCGGUGGCGAAAGCGGCUCUCUGGCCUGUAACUGACACUGAGGCUCGAAAGCGUGGGGAGCAAACAGGAUUAGAUACCCUGGUAGUCCACGCCGUAAACGAUGAGUGCUAGAUGUAG